rnacentral:lncRNA from 1 species
GGCUGAAUCGAGUGUCGUAGCAAGAAUUCUUACUGCCAGCAGUGUAGACAGCGGAGGGACAGAGAAAGAGGUACCUGAAUCGUAGCAGCCUGCAUUAGAGCCAGUGAACACAAGGCAAGAAACCUGCUAUAGUUCCAGACGCUGCACUGAUACCACGAACCCACAGCUUCUCCCGGAGUGCUGCAGUUUCU